rnacentral:rRNA from 1 species
AUUGAACGCUGGCGGUAUGCUUAAGACAUGCAAGUCGUGCGGUAGGGGCUUCGGCCCUGAGAGCGGCGGACGGGUGAGUAACGCGUGGGAAUCUGCCUGCUAGUGGGGGAUAGCCCGGAGAAAUCCGGAUUAAUACCGCAUACGCCCUAAGGGGGAAAGCCGCAAGGCGCUAGUAGAUGAGCUCGCGUAAGAUUAGCUAGUUGGUGAGGUAAAGGCUCACCAAGGCGACGAUCUUUAGCUGGUCUGAGAGGAUGGCCAGCCACAUCGGGACUGAGACACGGCCCGGACUCCUACGGGAGGCAGCAGUCGGGAAUAUUGGACAAUGGGCGCAAGCCUGAUCCAGCAAUACCGCGUGUGUGAAGAAGGCCUGCGGGUU